UACGGAGGGUGCAAGCGUUAUCCGGAUUUACUGGGUUUAAAGGGUGCGUAGGUGGGUCUGUAAGUCAGUGGUGAAAUCUCCGGGCUUAACCCGGAAACUGCCAUUGAUACUAUAGGUCUUGAAUGACUCUGGAGGUAAGCGGAAUAUGUCAUGGUAGGCGGAUGAAAUGCUUAGAUAUGACAUAGAACACCAAUUGCGAAGGCAGCUUACUACGGGGUCAUUGACACUGAGGCACGAAAGCGUGGGGAUCAAACAGG
rnacentral:rRNA from 1 species